CGUGGUGCCCGGGGAGCGCGGAGCCGGGCGGAGCCGGAGCGGCGGAGGAUGCGCCGGGCCCCGCCGAGCCCAGCCCAGCUGCAGCGCGGCGCCGCUCGCCCGACCGCCCAGCGGAGCACCCUGCACCCGGGAGCCAUGAGCCACCCCCAGCAGCCGCAGAGCCGCCGGAGCAGCCCCCUGUGCCCACCCCCCCGGUGCUGAUAGCCCCUCUGCUGCAGCCCACGUGGCCCUCCAGAGGUCUCACACCUAGCAGCGGGUCCCUGCAGGACUCCAGCUCCGGUAAGUACAACGUGUUUCCUUCUUGCUGCUAGAGCACCCGUGUUGUG
rnacentral:lncRNA from 1 species